rnacentral:rRNA from 1 species
AAAAAAUAACGAUACGGGACUCAUCCGAGGCCCCGUAAUCGGAAUGAGAACAUCCUAAAUCCUUUAACGAGGAUCUAUUGGAGGGCAAGUCUGGUGCCAGCAGCCGCGGUAAUUCCAGCUCCAAUAGCGUAUAUUAAAGUUGUUGCGGUUAAAAAGCUCGUAGUUGGUUCUGCGUGCCACGCUGUCGGUUCACCGCCUGUCGGUGCAACUGGCAUGCCGUGGCAUGUCCUGUCGGUGGCGUGCAGGCUUCGCGGCGCUCCCUGCAUGAUACGUUGUGUAGGUCGUCGAGUAGUCCUCGUACGCCGUCUCAAUCCUGCCGCGGUGCUCUUUACCGAGUGUCGAGGUAGGCCGGCACAUUUUACUUUGAACAAAUUAGAGUGCUUAAAGCAGGCUCUUAAAUCAGCCUGAAUAGUGGUGCAUGGAAUAAUGGAACAGGACCUUGGUUCUAUUUUGUUGGUUUUAGGAAUCCAAGGUAAUGAUCAAUAAGGACAGGCGGGGGCAUUCGUAUUGCGACGUUAGAGGUGAAAUUCUUGGAUCGUCGCAAGACGCACUAGAGCGAAAGCAUUUGCCAAGUAUGUCUUAAUUGAUCAAGAACGAAAGUUAGAGGUUCGAAGGCGAUCA